rfam:Pluralibacter gergoviae strain JS81F13 contig_13, whole genome shotgun sequence.
UAGCUCAGUUGGUAGAGCAGUUGACUUUUAAUCAAUUGGUCGCAGGUUCGAAUCCUGCACGACCCACCAAUCGUUAAGUGUGUGGCGAUUGUAAAACGUGAAGGAUAACGUUGCGUAAGCAACGGCCCGUAGGGCGAGGCGAAGUUGAGUCAUCCUGCACGACCCACCA